rnacentral:lncRNA from 1 species
AUGAAUGGGCGGCCAUUUUCCAGUCCGUGGUCCAUCCUUUAUUAUGUCCAUGCGUACUACGGACUCGCGGACUUGGAAGUUCGUGCUUGGCAAGUCCGGACUUCAAGUACACACUUCCGAGGACGGGAGUACGCACCUGCAAUAGGCUACUUGCACAAGCACUUCCUGAUUCGCCGUAAUACAGCUCAUCAGCUUCCGGUUUCAAGAUGGCAAUGUUCUACACCCGGAGCUGCCGACAAUAAAUAUAACAGAUGUGCAUCGUUUAUGUCGGGAAACAAAAACUCCGACAAUCAAAUUGGAGAAGGGGUUUGGGCUGUAUGCUUCGAUCUACAUUCACAGCUACGAAGCCUCAGUCACCUCCCUUUUACCUGUAUUGUGACUUGUGCCACUACGCAACGGUUGCUCUACCGGAUGGCGUCGUAACUAAUCCCCGGCACUCCGCUGACAGGUUUGUUUAGUUUCCUCUUUGGGUGCAGUUCAAUAACUGCCCCAACUUCCUGUAAGACAACCUGAUGUGUGUGGAUAUCCAAUGCCCUAAUGUGUUCUCUGUGCUCUCUUUUUAGAGUAGUGUUCCUGUCUGGGCCGUAUCUUUGGGAGGCGCGGUUUGGUGGUUUGCCGUGUACUUGCAUGUAUUUAAGUAGGGUGUUACCUGCUCAAUUCAUACAUUUUUACAAUUGUUUAUUAAUAGUAUUUUGUUUUAGGACCAGCAUUGGUGGAGUUGGAGACGGUCACAUUCUGGCGCUGGCGCUUCAGUGCUCCUAUUUUCAUCUCAUAGAAUAAUAACAUGACUUUUUCAACCAUUUAAAAAUAAACUUUGUAGACUUGAACUGGAAACACGUCUCUGUAAGUCUUUACACAAAUCUUUAUUAUAAAUGUUGUUUGUUUUUGUACUAUUGUUGCGGUCACAUUCAUAUACAUAAAUUCUGAUAAGACUUGGACAUCCCCAACUCCAAUUACACCAUCUCUCAACAUGCCACUACUUGUGUGCUAUUAAUCAUUCACAUAGACCUAUUAAGAAAUAAUUUGGUACAGUACUAUAAAUUAAUCUGUAACAGGGGUUGACACUAAGGUUUCAAAAGCACUUGCCCAUCGGGCAAGUACAGGUCAGGUUCAACUUGCCCGAAUGUAAUGUUCACUUGCCCAAAUUAUAAUCAGAAUCGUGAACGGGCCUCCUUUUGCCAGGCACCCGGCCUGGUUUUGGGGGGGCUCAGAAAAAUCAUCCUAGCUCAGACUGAAGCUGAAUGUUAGCUUCCACACAUGUUUAAAAAAUAACAAACUUCUCUUUGUUUACUUAUUUAUCGAGCGGUCACAUCGUGCCAUGAAGUGAUUUCAGUCCACAGUUGCAACCUAUUAAAGCUAUCGCCAAGUUAUAUGUAGACCUGCAUGAUUUCAUGCAAAUGUACAUAACUAAAUGUCAGAGGUAGUAGCAAAGAUAUGUCUUUUUUAACUUUCAAGUUUCUUGUAGCUCUAACUGAAUAAUCACAAUCACGUUUCUAGUAGGGUUGUCAGUCACGAUACUGGAUUUUCUAACUUCAACACUAUUCCUGGAAAAAGAUCGAUAUUCUAUACCAUUUUCGAUAUCAGGGAAAAACGUUUUUUUCAGGAAAGAACAUACCCAAAGUAAAGAGAUUUUAUCUCCACAACUGCAAGGGCGAUAAUGUCAUCUUUGGGAAAAAAGAAAGAUUGUUGUGCAAGUGAAAUAUUCAAUGGGGAUAAUACUUGGUUAAAGUGAAUAAAGCCAUGGAACACAGCAUAAGUGGAAGAUAACAUUUCCACCUGAAAUAAUUAUCAGUAUCAGUUGGUCGUUAUCAGUUGGGAGUGCUGUCUUACUAUGAGACACAAAUAAGGUAGAUAUCUUUCAAUUUUGACACUUGACACCUCUAUUUAAAGUUCAGGGCAAUCGAAUGCACCAAGCCAAACACUCGCAAAUAAAUAUAUGGCCACUAGAUUGCGCUGAAGAAUAUGUUUUCUGAUUGAAGGCAAUUUACCUAUUUCCUAAGAAACCUUCUCUUAUUCAUUGAUUGAAAACACCAUGUUAAGUUGCAAAAUUGGGCCCAGAUACUGGAUAAUCUGUUUAUGGUGGUUUUAUUCGAUCAGAAUCAACUUUGUGGACAAAAAUCACAAAGGUACUUCAUUUUGGUUGUUAAAAGAAAAGGGGACGUUUCUUCUUAAGUUGUUAUUUGCGAGUUUUAGUCACAGAAUGAUAUGGUUUGGACUGUUGGAAUAAGUGGAGGCUCAGCUUUCAUGUAAUAUAUACAGUAGUUUGUGAGGGUCCAAUUUUG